rnacentral:rRNA from 1 species
AUUGAACGCUGGCGGCAGGCUUAACACAUGCAAGUCGAGCGGAGAGAGGUAGCUUGCUACUGAUCUUAGCGGCGGACGGGUGAGUAAUGCUUAGGAAUCUACCUAUUAGUGGGGGACAACAUUUCGAAAGGAAUGCUAAUACCGCAUACGUCCUACGGGAGAAAGCAGGGGAUCUUCGGACCUUGCGCUAAUAGAUGAGCCUAAGUCGGAUUAGCUAGUUGGUGGGGUAAAGGCCUACCAAGGCGACGAUCUGUAGCGGGUCUGAGGGGAUGAUCCGCCACACUGGGACUGAGACACGGCCCAGACUCCUACGGGAGGCAGCAGUGGGGAAUAUUGGACAAUGGGCGCAAGCCUGAUCCAGCCAUGCCGCGUGUGUGAAGAAGGCCUUAUGGUUGUAAAGCACUUUAAGCGAGGAGGAGGCUACUUUAGUUAAUACCUAGAGAUAGUGGACGUUACUCGCAGAAUAAGCACCGGCUAACUCUGUGCCAGCAGCCGCCGCGGUAA